AUUGAACGCUGGCGGCAUGCCUUACACAUGCAAGUCGAACGGUAACAGGUCUUCGGAUGCUGACGAGUGGCGAACGGGUGAGUAAUACAUCGGAACGCGCCUAGUAGUGGGGGAUAACUACUCGAAAGAGUGGCUAAUACCGCAUGAGAUCUACGGAUGAAAGCAGGGGAUCGCAAGACCUUGUGCUACUAGAGCGGCCGAUGGCAGAUUAGGUAGGUGGUGGGAUAAAAGCUUACCAAGCCGACGAUCUGUAGCUGGUCUGAGAGGACGAUCAGCCACACUGGGACUGAGACACGGCCCAGACUCCUACGGGAGGCAGCAGUGGGGAAUUUUGGACAAUGGGCGCAAGCCUGAUCCAGCAAUGCCGCGUGCAGGAUGAAGGCCUUCGGGUUGUAAACUGCUUUUGUACGGAACGAAAAGCCCCGGGUUAAUACCCUGGGGUCAUGACGGUACCGUAAGAAUAAGCACCGGCUAACUACGUGCCAGCCGCCGCCGUAA
rnacentral:rRNA from 1 species